rnacentral:rRNA from 1 species
UAGGGAAUCUUCGGCAAUGGGGGGAACCCUGACCGAGCAACGCCGCGUGAGUGAAGAAGGUUUUCGGAUCGUAAAGCUCUGUUGUUAAGGAAGAACGAGUGUGAGAAUGGAAAGUUCAUACUGUGACGGUACUUAACCAGAAAGGGACGGCUAACUACGUGCCAGCAGCCGCGGUAAUACGUAGGUCACGAGCGUUGUCCGGAUUUAUUGGGCGUAAAGCGAGCGCAGGCGGUUAGAUAAGUCUGAAGUUAAAGGCAGUGGCUCAACCAUUGUAGGCUUUAGAAACUGUUUAACUUGAGUGCAGAAGGGGAGAGUGGAAUUCCAUGUGUAGCGGUGAAAUGCGUAGAUAUAUGGAGGAACACCGGUGGCGAAAGCGGCUCUCUGGUCUGUAACUGACGCUGAGGCUCGAAAGCGUGGGGAGCGAACAGG